AUGAAAACGUCAAUGGCUUCCCUAAGGUCAUUCUCCGCGAGGUUCGUGGUUGCUCCGCUGAGGUCUAUUGUUCAGUUAAGGUUUGUCGGAACCACAAGCAAAGAGAGAUAGGCCGUAUCCCCGUAACCGAAGCUAAGAGAAAGUAAGGACCUACAAUCAAGGAUGUUGGGAAAGGUAGAGAUAGAGUUAUUUUCUAUAUUUUGCUCCCAUGUCUUGCUGCUUGCUUUGUUGUAUAUGUUCUUCCCGUUGGUUGUGCAGGGUGAAUGGGAAAAGGAGCUACCUUUGUUGGGUUUCUUGGUUCAAUAAGAAAAAGGAGGAAGCUUUAUACGUUUUUGGUCGUGCUUUCCUUGGGUUUCUUUGAGAGGUUGGUUUGACUGUUGUGGAGAGUUGUUGGUAGUCUUUUUGGGUUAGGAAAGGAUUCUGUUUAUGGAGUUAUAGAGGGCUGGAACAGUGGUACUUUUUGUAUUUGUUAUGUUACUUUUUUUCUUUUCUAUCUCAUUUGUCUAUAUUGAAUUGUGCUUAAGAACAGCCAAUGCUAUUGCCCAUUGUACCUAGAUAUAUAAAUUACUUUGUUAUAUACUACAGAAUAUGAGUAGCAAGA